rnacentral:rRNA from 1 species
UACGUAGGGGGCAAGCGUUGUCCGGAAUCAUUGGGCGUAAAGCGCGUGUAGGCGGCCAGGUAAGUCCGUUCUGAAAGCCCGGGGCUCAACCCCGGGAGGCGGAUGGAUACUGCUUGGCUCGAGUCCGGAAGAGGCGAGUGGAAUUCCCGGUGUAGUGGUGAAAUGCGCAGAUAUCGGGAGGAACACCAAUGGCGAAGGCAGCUCGCUGGGACGGUACUGACGCUGAGACGCGAAAGCGUGGGGAGCAAACAGG